rnacentral:lncRNA from 1 species
GCCUGCUUAGAUUUUUUCUAAAAGGAAUUAUGAUAACGUUACAUUGUUACUAACCAGAGUACUGAAAAUAAGGCUUAAUCCUGCUAGGUGAACAGGGGAUUAUUCCAUACUUUUUAACAUCCAUAACCUGAGAAAAGAAUUCAGCAUACUACUUCAUCGUAGUACCCAACUCUGCAUUUCAUUGCCAAUAAGACUCAUGAAGCCAAGUUACA